rnacentral:rRNA from 1 species
UACGGAGGGGGCUAGCGUUGUUCGGAAUUACUGGGCGUAAAGCGCACGUAGGCGGCUUUGUAAGUUAGAGGUGAAAGCCCGGGGCUCAACUCCGGAAUUGCCUUUAAGACUGCAUCGCUAGAAUUGUGGAGAGGUGAGUGGAAUUCCGAGUGUAGAGGUGAAAUUCGUAGAUAUUCGGAAGAACACCAGUGGCGAAGGCGGUCUGCUGGGCAGUAGCUGACACUGAGGCGCGACAGCGUGGGGAGCAAACAGG